rnacentral:ncRNA from 21 species
AUUUAUUUGGGAGAUGGCAUUCCUCCUACCCAAACCGUCCAUAUUGGACUGAUGAUGCCUACGUAAAC